rnacentral:rRNA from 1 species
CAACGCCGCGUGGAGGAUGAAACGUCCCGUUGGGUGUAAACUCCUUUCGAUGGGAAGAUUAAUGACGGUACCAAUAGAAGAAGCCCCGGCUAACUUCGUGC